UAGCCGUAAACGAUACUCGCUAGGUGUCGGUCACGGUGCGACCGUUGUCGGUGCCGUAGGGAAGCCGUGAAGCGAGCCACCUGGGAAGUACGGCCGCAAGGCUGAAACUUAAAGGAAUUGGCGGGGGAGCACAACAACGGGUGGAGCUUGCGGUUUAAUUGGAUUCAACGCCGGAAAACUCACCAGGGAAGACUGUUACAUGAAGGCCGAGAUGAAGACUCUGCUAGAUUUUCAGAGAGGUGGUGCAUGGCGUCAGUGACU
rnacentral:rRNA from 1 species